rnacentral:lncRNA from 1 species
CUGGAGCCAAGAUGCCAGAGCUCAAGACUCCAUUCUAUAUACCAUCCUUGCCUGUGUGAUGCUAAGAAAGUUAUCUCUACCUCUGUUUUCCUUCUCUGGUGUAGAAUCAAAUGAAAUGUCACAUACAGACAGCGUUUAGUAUAGUGCUUCCUAAAAUCUGCUAAUUAAGGUUACAAGUGAUAAAGAAGAAAGACGUGAUGAACAGUCUUGCCUCGUGCUACCCACCUGAUGACCAUGAAGGAAGAUCAAGAGAAUGGAGACAGCCUCUCUGUCUUUGCAUUCCAGAGACACUGUGAUUGGCUAGCUCUACGGAAAUGGGAUGAGAUGAGAUUCUUCCUUCUGGCUGUCUGAGACUGAUGUUGUUUAAUCUGCUCCGGGAACACCAUGAAAUGGGCUGUGGGACUGAUAACAAGCUUGGAUGUGAAAGCUAGGGUACAGUGGAGGAGGGGCUUUAUCUGUUGGAUCUGACAACCAAACAGCAGGCUGUCUUGAGGCUGGCUGCAGUGCACAGACAUCUUGACGGACGUGCAAGGCUGUGGGGUCUGAUCUGGCAACCCAAAGGCCCAUCUGAGGCGCUGCCAGUCUUUUAGAACUCCAGGUGUCACCACACAAAGGGAAUGUUGGAGAUCCAAAACUACUGCAUGCUUUGGGAGGAGACUAAAUGACACCCAAAGAUUGAACUUCUUUGUCAAGGCCACUGCAAAGCAGCAGCCGGUCUCUGCUCUCCAGGGUGGGCCACACGUAUUCCCCGGGGUUGUUUUCUGUAUCAGGCCUGGGCAGACCCUUCUGAAAAAAGCUGCUACUGAACCCACAGACAGUGGAGCAAGCAGAGUUAUGAAAAGGAAUAAUGAUUCCGGGACUCACUCCUCUCCAAGUGAUUGGCUUUAAGCUGAGAGUCUUAGAUUUCUGGAUUCAACUUUGAUGGCAAGCCACUCAGGAUUUUGUCCAGGCUGCUCUUUACUGAAACUACUGAACAAUCUCUACAGCAUAAGGAUUAAAAAAGAAAGGUCACCUUGGAGGCCUGUGGGUCCUGGAACAAGAGCCAGCUCAGGUUGUGAUCUAUCACCAAGGGAAGUCAAAGCAGGAACCUGGAGCAGAAACUGAAGAGACCACGGAGGAAUGCUGCUUACGGGAUUGCUCAUCUACCUUUCUUAUACAGUCCAAUCCCACCUGCCAAGGGAUGAUGACAUUACCCACAGAGGGCUGGGCCCUUCUAUAUGGACUAGUGACCAAGAAAAUCCUCCCCACAGGAUUGGCCACAGGCCAAUAUGAUGGCUAUAAUUCUUAAAUGAGGUUCCCUCAUCGCAGGUGUGUCAAGUUGGCAAGCAAGAUUAGCGACUGCAGUUGCUGAGUGGGCAUAUCCUUACAGCAUUGACCUUGAGAGGCACUUGAAGGUACACCCCCAUAUGAACCUAAACUCAUACUUCCUUUCAAGCAGAAAAAACCACCGAGAGGUUUGCUUUUAUGGUGUGACUGUCUUGGAAGGAACAUGAAUGGGAAGAUGGCACGGAGAGAGUUGAGGGAUGAGAGACUGGAUGGUCUUCCUCUGAAUGGACAGAGGAAAUCAAGUCAUCUUCUUGUGAAUGUGUGCUUUUUGUGACUGCUCAUGAGAGGGUGAUCUCAGAAAAGGAGUGUUUUAAUAUUGGCUACAAUAACACUUCUCAUGUGGCACAAGUUUGUCUUUUCCCCCCAAAGAGCUCUUGGAUCAAGUGACCAUGAUAGAGGGACUCUAAUGGAUCAUCCCCAUGGACUUCUACUCUUCAAGGUUAAUCUGGAUGUAGCUAAUGUUGGGCAUCUGACUGGCCACAGCAGAGGCUGAAACUGAGUCCUUAAUAUGCACUGUUCCCAUGGACAGUCAAUGCUUCUUAUUGGGAUCAAUACUUACGGUGGUUAUGGAUUUGUGGACUAAAUACAAUGCCUCAGAAAGCUAUCAUCCAUACGCUUACCAAGGGCUUCAUUCACCACUCUGUCAUUCCACACAGUAUUGCUUCUGAUCAUGGGACUUCAUAGCAACUGAUCUAUGGUCACAGUACCACGGCCAUGAGAUCAUGGCCCUAAUCAUCCUCCAGGGUAACAGAAGGGUAAAAUGGCCUUCAGGAAUUCUUCCACAGCAUAAGCUAGUCAAUACCUCAUAGGACUGUAGCAAUGUCCUUCAAAGGACUACCAAAUGCAAUGAGUUGGCACAGAAUAUAUAAUGUUCCUUCGAACACAGUUAGCACUCAUAUACCUAGGAUGAGUAAGACGAAACAGAGAGAACAUCGCUCAACUUUGCCUCUUGAGAGUCACUAGGAGCCAUUUGUUUCUAGUCAUCCUUAUGACUGUAGGUUCUGCUGGUCUAGAGCUUUUGGUUUUUUACUGAGAAUAAUCCUACCAACAGACACGUGAUUCCGGUGGAAUAAAAAUUAUGAC